CCAGGCUCGCCUCUUCAGCUCAUAUAAGGUAAAAGGCAGAGGGGUCUUUGCGGCCAGGGAGCAGCGGGCAAGGGGCUAAGGGGAGGGGGGCCCAGUGCCAGCUGUUUAAAAGUGCCCCUGUGGCAGUGGCAGUGAGGGGUGCCAGAGGUCCAGUGAAGUUAGUUGAGAAGCAGUGAUACCUCCAACCAUUCCCCAAAUGGGCUGGCCCAUGUCUCCAGGCCACAAGGAGCCACACCUGGAUGGACCCCGAGAGAGGUAAGAACCAGUGGCAGACAGGGGUCUGUGAGUCUAGUUGUGUGUAUGUGUUGUGUGUGUGAGGGGGGUCUCUGUGGUAUCCUCCUCCCCCGGGAGACCCCGGGGGAUGCUGCGUCGGGGUUCUGAUCCUUGCUCUCUUGCUAACCCCCUCUGGGCCUCAGUUUCCUCAUCUGUGCAGAGCCUGGACUGGAUGAUCUCUAUGCGUGCAUCUUGCCCUGACCAGAUGUGCAGAUCUGUGAUCCUGUUGGCUAUGGGGACUCCUUGUGGCUGUGGUUAAAUGCAGGGGGUGGGAGCAGAGGGAGGGGAUGGCGUUGAUGUCCCACCACCUGAGCAUCACCGCUGUACCCGAGUCUGGGCCUGUCUUGCUGACUUCGCUAUAGACAAUGCUUCUUCCUUGUCUAUGAGGUUUGAUUUCUCAGCCCUAAGAGCCUGGGGCUCCUGGCAAGUAAAAUUGUUUUCAAAUAAUGAUUUCAAGAAACAAAGCUGUUGGAGAAGCUAUGUCAGCUCAGGUUCCAGCAGACAGGCAGUGAGGCGGGAAGGCCAGGGUGUUGGCUGAGAGGCAGCAGUGGGUAGGGCACACUGGCUGGGGGAUGGGGGCGCAGGCUCCAGCCUCAGCUCUGCUUCUCACUGCCUGGUCCUGUGGCCCCAGGCAGACACCCUACCCUCUCUGGGUUGCAGUUUCCCAUCUGUACUGUCAGGCCAUCAGACAACACAGUCUCUGUGCUUCUGAGGAUGUGGCUUUAGAGCCCUGUUUGAGCCUAGAGGGCAGCUGAUGUUGGGAAGUUUCCCCAGGAGGCCCUGAGCUGAGUCUGCCAUUUGACAACAGGUUUAGAGGCCAAGCUGACACCUGGAGCCUGGGAUGUUCUUGGAGGUUGAGCCUCAGGAGGUGGAAAGAGCUGAAGCAUCUCUGACUGCAGGCUUGACCAAGGGAAGGGUCAGCCCACAGCCCCGAGACCUCAGGAUGAGCCUGCCCCGAGGCAGCCUCUGCUGGGGAAGGUGCUGGUCUCUAAAUUCAGUGUACUAAGGGUUCAGGAUCUUGGAGGGAGAUGGGGACAGCAGAGAGUUCCAGUGAGGUGAGGUGGUGGAGCCAGGGGAUUCAGAGGAAAGCAGAGGACUUGCAAUGGGGAACGUGGGAGGCAGGGCUGGAAGACACGGCUCUUCUGAGUAUGCUCUGGCCACAUCUAGGGCCCAGAAUGGACACAGUCCUACAGUGUCAGCCUGCCCAGCACUUUCACCUCCCACUAAAAGCAGACUCUGGAACCAGUUGCCUGGGUCCAAUUCUGGCUUGUUUUUACUUACAGAACACAUGACCUUGGGCAAGUCACUUGCCUUCUCUGAGCCUCAGCUUCCUCUUCUAUAGAACAGCUAUGGUCUCUGUUCUGACCUCACUUGGCUGUCCUAAAGCGUAAGGGACAUAUGUACCUAAGAGCAAGCUCCUUUGUCCAUGGGAUUUUCCAGGUCAGAAUACUGGAGUGGGUUGCCAUUUCCUCCUUUAGGGGAUCUCCCCAAUCCAAGGAUCGAACCCACAUCUCCCAUGUCUCCUCCAUUGCAGGCAAAUUCUUUACCUGCUAAACUAUCGGGGAAGCCUAAAAGCAGAAUAAAUGGGGCUCAUGUUCAUUACGUUUGGACCCUAGUCCUGUUGUGAAGCAAGAUGACCUUAGCUAUGUUUAGAGAGAAGUGAGAGUGAGGACUGGCCAGGGAGCACCCUAAAUUGCUGAAGACAGAACAGGGUCUGGAAAGAAGCAAGAGGGGUAAGUUCAGAGGUCAGAGGUUACAAGGCACAGGAGAGGGUCAGCUUGAAAUGUGUAAAGGGCUAGGUGAAGUCUCAUUUUCUGCAUAUAUAAUAGGGCCUUCUGUGGGUCAUGUGUCCCAAAGUGUGGUGUCUGAAGCACUGCACACUCAUCAGCUGACAGGGAAUCCUGGCUCUGGCAGGAAGCUGCACUCCAGCCUCUCCAGGAAACACCAGGUGUAUGGAGUUUGGAGAAUUCUGUGCUGUCAAGUAGCCUGAGGCCCUUACAAACACAGUCGAGGUCACUGAAUCCAGAAGAAGAGAAGACUGCUUUAGGUCACACAGAGAGCUGAUGGCAGAGCACAACAAGCCUCUGCCAGCAAGGUGGCGCGGACAGGAGAACCACACUGCGAUUGCCUUUACACAAACUACAGUCAUGCACAGCAACCCUGCAAGGCAGGGGCAACAAUUAGCCCUGUUGCACAGACAAGGACACUGAGAAAGAGAGGUUAAGUAGCUUACAUAAGGUCACACAGCCGGUGAACUACUACACCUGGACAUGGUAUGUCUAUCCGCUGCUCCUGCCCCUUUGUCCCCAGAGGUCUCCUACCUCCUGCCCUGCUCCUUGGACACCACACUCCAUAACUUCCUGGGGACCCUCCAAAGCACCUCAUGAAUAUGUACAGGGAAUCUCCCCUCUCUUGCAUUAUCACUUAAUCCUCCCAGGAUUACCCUUGGGCAGGAUCAGCAUCAUUCCACCAUCCUAAUCCAUAUGGAAAAAAACCACUCGAGCUUACCCAAAGUCACACAGCUAGAACUGGCGGAAGGGGUUUGAACCCACUCUGCAAAAUGCGUGCUUGUAGUCUGCCCACCAGGACCCCUCUGAGUGCAGGGAUGAGGAAUCCCACUUCUCGAGGAGACCGAGGCUAAGCGGGUGACCACACCAGAGUUUGAAUCUGAGUCUUCUAGUUCCAAGCCCAUCGCUCUUCCUUUAGCUCCACCACUGCCAAAACAGAAAAGAGUCUGCUUGUCAUUGGUCCCUAGGAGCCACAGGACAGCUCUUUGGGCAAAGUCAGCCCUUUCCCAGGCUGGCUUGUGCCAGGGAACAGCUGACACACACACAGCCCCGAGGAAUACAAAGCUCCAGUCCCGGUGCCACCCCUGACCCGUGGGGCUGUCUUAUUCACUGUGUGAGCCCUGAGGGUGGGAGGAGACAGCCUCUGAGGUCCUCAUCUCCAGGCUAUGCCUGGGCCCUGCCUCAACAGUGAUUUCCCAACUAAACAAGCCCUGGGGCUCAGGGCCUUGGGUUGUGCAAAGGAUCAUGAUAAAGCUUUUUCCAAUUGUGGUUAUUAUGACCAUUUUUGUCCAUGUCUCCUGGGGCACAUGAGCCAGAGUUUCUCUGGGAUUCAUAUUUAGAGAUGGAUUGCUAGGUUCUGGUGUGCAUGACUAUCAACAUCACAGGAAAGCACCAGAUUAUUUUCUAAAGUGGCCAAUCCAUGUCACAGCUUCCACCAGCAGUACAGUAUGUGAGCAGUCCCUUCCUUGACAAGCCUUGAAAUUACCUGAAUUCUUGUUAUAUACUUUGUUCUUAUUGAAUUUGUAUAAUUAAGAAGGAAGAAACAGAAAUGCUUUAAUGCUACUGUCCACAUGGGUAUUUAGAAACUUGCCCUACAUGCACCAAGUUGCAGGGCAGCCUGCAGGCCCCGGAGUAGGGGUGGGCACAGCCCACAUGGCCCUCCCCCAGCCCAGCAGUACACAGGGGCCUCGGGCCAAUCGGAGAUUGCCUGCGAUAGUCUGCAGGAAUUUGGGGUGGGGAAAGAGCCCACGUGUCUGCCACCUCCUAACGGCCUGUCUAGACAACCCUGGCCCCACGGGGCUUCACCACACAUGGUGAAACCCCACAGAGACCGGCCCCCUCCCUUCUUGCAAAAGAGGCUUGUUGGCAACAGUGCUUCAUCACCAGAAACCUUUUCUCCAAUUCAAAACAGGAAUGCACCGCAUGAGUCACCCACUCUCGUGGCCCAUCAAUCACCCACUCAUCAGGCCCCUUUUUGUUUGGAUGAGAAAACAGAGGCUGACUCUGGAGCCAGGGACCUUUCCAGUGUGGGCUGAAUGAAUCCCCAUGCCCAGGUGAUAAGGGGACCAGGCUUCCCUGUCCAUCAUGAACUCCGGGAGCUUGCUCAAACUCAUGUCCAUUGAGUCAGUGAAGUCAUCCAACCAUCUCAUCCUCUGUCAUCCCCUUCUCCCACCUUCAAUCAUUUCCAGCAUCAGGGUUUUUUCAAAUAAGUCAGUUCUUCACAUCAGGUGGCCAAAGUACUAGAGUUUCAACUUCAGCGUCAGUCCUUCCAAUGAAUAUUCAGGACUGAUUUUCUUUUGGAUGAACUGGUUGGAUCUCCUUGCAGUCCAAGGGACUCUCAAGAGUCUUCUCCAACACCACAGUUCAAGAUGCAGCAGGCUGGCCAUUAAAGGUGCCAGAGAGGAGUCAGGCUGCUUGGGUUUGCAUCUCAGAUCUGCCCCAUAACAGCUGUGUGACCUUGGGCAAGGUAAGAGUACCAGCCUCAUUAGGUUAUUGAAUCAUCUGGAUUAAAUGAGUUACAACUCAUGAAGUCCUUAGAUCAGUGACUGGCACAUAGUACUCAAUAAAUAAAUAACUGUCCAAAUGUGAUGACAAAAGGCAGUUUCUUUAAGAGGGAGGAGGUGCCAUAUGAAGCCCCAACUCCACCCUCCACCUAGGGGGAUAAUCUACUCUUGCUCCUUCAGAAAUAACAAUAACUAUAUAUCAAGUCUUCCCAAGCAGCCAGCUCUCCACCCAGCACUCUCUGAAGUAAAUACCAUGAUCCCUCUGGAAAGCCAGAGGCUCAGAGAGAUUGAGUGUCAUUUGCCCAAAGUCACACAGCUUUAUAUAAGGCUCAGCUGGGGCUCAAACCCAGGUCUGGCUGACUCCAGAACCCAUGCACAGAAACCCUAGCACUGUCCUAACUAGUCUGUGAGCAAAAGCUACUUCUGGUUGUACUCGUCUAGUAGGAAAACUCUUGGCAUUUAGGAAGGGGGCUAUUUGAAGAAUGAUGCCUUAGUAAGAUAAAAACAGAGCCCCCCUUUCCCAUCCCCAUGCUCGCUCAGGGGCAAAAAAUUUCAGACAAUACUUCUCACCGGUGAGCAUAUCUUUCUGUGGGCUGAGUGCCCUCAGGGCCUGGUCAGUCCUGGGCUGCCCCUGAUUGGCACAGCUCAUUGGUGCUUUGAGGAGGAAGCCGCCUCACUCCUGCACAUCCCUGAGAGCGCACAUUCUACCCACACGCCUAGGUGCCCUCCUGUGAGGUCCUCCUCUGACCCAAGCGACGCUCCGAGGAAAAUGGAAAACACACUGGACACUGCAAGCUUGGCAGGGACACUGCUCGACUGCCACUAGCUUCCGCCUCUACCCUCCUCCUCCUUCAGGGAAACAGCUCAGGUUGAAGUGUUCAGAGGCAGGCUGCCGCCUUGGGAGGCCAUCCAUAGUGGCCAUGACAUCACCCUGGCAGGGCUGCUGGGCUCCGGGGCCACUGAUCAGUCUGCCCAGGGCCUGCUGGACCUCAGGCAUAUGACCCCAACAACCCCACUGUGUCUGAGGGCAUCUGAUGAGAUAAACUGAACAAGAUGGGGAGAAAGGGAAAGAAACAGGCUAAGACGCUGGCCCUGGCUCUACAGCCAACAGAGAAGUUAGUCCAUCCCUCUGGGCCCUGCAGGAUGAGACGCUCCAUGAUUUGGGAUGGGAAUAGGACAGCUCCCGUCACCCCUUGUAUGACAGUGGACACUCAGACUCUUAGGGAAGAUAAAGCUGGGGUGGGGUGGUCAGAGUGGCAGUGGCACACUUUGGACACACAGAGGUGAGAGAAGACGGCACCCCAGGGGAGUCCUGCCUGCAAAGGUGGGGAGGCAGGGCUGGAAAAAUGUUUUCAGAAGAACAGCAAACAAGUGGUUUGCUGUUGGUUCCACUCGGCUGGAACCAAGAGUGGGUCAAGACCCGCUAUGAUUUGAGGCUGGCUAAGUGGUGAAGGUCUGGUCAUGGAGUGGCUUUGAUCUCCAGAAACCAAAGCUCCAGAAGAUGGAAGAAGUGUUCCUGGGAGGGACAUUUGUACCCUCCCCCAAAAUACCAUCAGACCAAGAGCCCCAGUGGAGGAGAGAGACCUGGGAAUUUGGACACUGUUGACUCUGAGGUGUCAAAUAUGAGGCUGGGGGGUUAGGAAGCCCGAGGGCUGCAGUCAUCAUCUUUGAGAUUUGAAGAGCUCUCUGGGGAUCAGGAAUUUGUUCUUUGCAGCCUGAAAACACAGGGCAUGCAGCCCCAGACAGGCAAGUAUCUGCAGGAUAUUAGGAAGAAGUCUUCAACAGUUUGUCCACAGAGAGAUGAGGUGAUUGGAAAGCAGUGAGCUUCCUGUCACCAGACAGGUAUAUGAGCUUAGCAGGGACACUCUAGAACUCAGCAUUAGAGGAGGUUAGACCUCAUGGCUUUUCCCACCACCAGUCUGAGAUGUCACAUGACAGCCCUAAUGGCCCUGGGAUAGUCUUGUGGGGCUGAACACCCCCUGCUGCCUAGAUGUCAGAUUCCCAGCUGGGCAUGACAUCAGUUCUGCCCUGACUUCACACAGGGGCCUCUAGAGACACCCCUUCCCUUUUCCUCCCACUUCCUUCCACCCCUCUGCUGCCUUCUGCCCUUUUCAGAGAGCACCAGGCUUGACCAGAGAGACCUGGAGCCUGGUUGUGAGAUCAGGUCCCCAGGGAACAAUCUGCCCAGCAGGAAUGAGGCAGAGGGGGCCAGCAUCCCUGGAGGCCCUGUUCACACGCCCCACAGAGACUGCAUGGAAAUUCCAGGAGAGUCACAGGGAAGAUUCCAAUUUAGAACAAAAUGCUUUAUUUUUGUCCCCUUUCCUUUCCCCUUACUGGGGGGAAGGGGAGGCUGUCACAGGAGGUUGGGGGAGGAAAGCAAGCAUCCUCGUUGGGCAGAAUCACAGGAGGACCAGUGUGGAGAGAUGGGGGUGCAGGGCAGAGAGGGAAGGGACCCAGAUGGGCCUGGGGAAGUGGACUCCACAUGGGAGAGGGCGACGGGGAGGGCAAAAUCGAGGGGAUAACAAGACCAGCAGGCAUUUCUGGACACUCAAGACCAGAGUUACUUCAGCUCUGGGUUCAAGCUGAGGUCAGAGAAUCAGCCGAGUUUCCCAGAAGAGACAGAUGGUAUCAGGAUCAGUUCUUUUGAGACUCUUGGACACUGGGGCCAGGCCUUAAGGGACUGUAAAGCUACAGAGUACUACUAAAUCCAUCUCAUUCACCCUGGUGAUCCUGGGAGACACUUAGUAAACACUCCUCAUGUUGAAUCCUAAACCCAUAGCAUAAAAGUCCUAUUAGAGCCAACAGGGACCUUUAAGUGCAUCAAAACCAUCUCCUCGUGUUACAGAUGCAGGACCUGAGGUCCACGAUGGAAGGAGACUUGCCUGAGGUCAGACUGCCAGAGUGGCCACCCAGCCCUAUGCAUCUUUCUUUGCCUCUUCCCUGCCUUCUAGCCAGAGAUGGAGACUAUGGUAUGGUCUCCGCACAAGGAGGGAGACAAAGAAAAGGCAGGUGCCCUGCCAGGACAUAACGGUCUCCAGGAGGUAGUCAGAGGAGAGAGUCAUAGCUUCAGUCCUGGGAACUCUGCCCAGGAGGGUGCUUUCCUUGGCCAGACAUGGUCCCCAGAGUUGUCAGCUGCUGCAGAUAGGGGACUCCUACAGAUGAGAGCGCCCAAGGCCGGAGGGGAAGCCCUAGGUUCUGUUUCUGGCUCUGCCCCAACUCACCACAUGACCUGAGAUAGGGUCUUCUCUGACCUCAAUGUGCCUGGUGAGGGGCUGGACCCAACCAGCUUGGAUGGUCAGAGAUUUCAUCCAUGGCCUGCCUCAGUCUCCUGAGUGCCUCCCCCGUCUCUCAAGCCAUCUUAGCUUUUGCUUUGGUACAGAAGUAGGCCAGGCACAGGAGGGAAAAACAGUAGCCUGCAGAUCCCCCUCUGCUGGGAGCAGCAUCCUCUAUGCCCUAGCUUUGCUUUCCAGCCUUGGAAUUCCCGGAGAGGCAAAAACCUGGGGAGGCUCUCCUGACACUCAGACCAGUGCUUUCACUGACCACACCUUCCAGGAUGAUAGGCGCAUGAGCCAAUCUCAUGUGGACCUGGGCAUUGACUCACUUGACACUUAACACUCCCCACACAGGGCGCCCAUACUCUCCCACCCCUCUCUGAGACUUGGUUUCUUCUUCUAUCCAACUGGGAGAUGGGGUGGAACAGAUGUCUCUAGGAGCCCUUGCACUCCAGGACCCCAGGGUGGCCUCCUCAGCUCUUUCUUCACAGAGGGUGGGGCUACCCAGGCCAGGAAACCCCACCAGAUCACAACCUCCAUCCAGCCCAGUCCCACCCCAGACCCCAGGACUGGGUUUCAUCCAGAUCUACAGGCUCCAGCCCAGCUCCCUCGGAGGAUCUGGGUUUUUCUUACCAUAAAAGGGCAAGCUUGCCUCUCUGGGUCCCCACUGCCAGCCCCACUGGGGGAAAGGCGGAACUAUUUUUAGAAAACUCUAGGGUUUGCUCCUGAACUCAAGAUGGAGCCUGUCUGAGCCUGCACCCGGGGAGCCCUCUCCCAUCUCCCUUGCGCACCUGCCCUCUGUCUUCCUCCCUCUUCACCCGUUGCUGUCUCUUCCCUCACUCCUCCUCUCUCUGCCUCUGUCUUGCUCUCUCUCACUCCAUCAAUCUGUCUUCCCUUUCCCUCUCCCUCUCCUCCUCUCUUCCUUCCCCUUCAAUUCUCCCUUCUCCCCAGAUCUCCUCUCAGCCAGCUCCCCUUCCCCCUGCCCCUCAUCCCUCCCGCAGAUCCUGUUUUUGGUGGUUGGAGAGAGUAACACAUCUGCACCCCCACACCCUUCUUAAACACUAUUUACAACAUAAAUUCCAAACAUCCGCCAUCUGGUUCUAGAAAGGGCCAAAAGAUAUUUAGAAAAGGAAGUCAUGAUUAUUCCAUCUUCAAAGCCAAAGGAACAUAAAGGCCCUCCUCUCUCCCGCCUCCCUUCCAGGGCCCCUUUGUUAAGAUCUGACGGAUUAGGAUUCUUCAGCGAGUGGAAGGGGUCCCAACUGGGCCUCUGAUGGGCUGCAUCACUUUAAGCUUGUUAUUUCUCUCCACACCUCAGUUUCCUCAUCUGAACAGUGGGAACACGACUAAUGCUCUGAGACUUCAUGUCCUAGCGCAGGAAACCCUGAGGCCCAUGUCCCUGGGGCCCACCCUGGGCUGAGCAGCGAGGGUGACUCUCCCCUUGCAGCCCUGUGCCUUUCACCCCAACGAGAUCUAUGCAUUCCUUCAUGGUGGGGGCAGGAGCGGAACCAAGCCAUCUCCCUUUUUGUGACCCCAGGAGGACUCUGGAUUCCACAGAGUCCAGUCCCUUCCCUACAUCAUAGUGAGGUCCAGAGAGGGGAAGGCACUCAUCUACAAUCACACAACAUGCCUACAGGAGACCCAGUACCUAACCUGCUGCUCUUCCCUUCAAAAACCUUCCAGAAGAAACCAACCUUUGUAUUACCCAGAAAACAUCACUGAGCCCAGCAAACUGGAACCCUAGAGGUCUCAGUUCUUUGCAAAGUAGACAGGAGAGAAAGAACUAACUCCUUUAUCAUGGAAUUUUCUUCAAAUAGACCACAUACAAGGGAGAAAUGCUGUGGGAAGUCCCCUGUUUCCAGAGACACACAUUUGCCAGUGCUGACAGAGCCUUCACUUAACUGAAAAUGUGCUCUCUGCUCACAGCCCCCUUUCCAUAAGGAUGCUUUCCAUAAUACACAUUUGACGGCAUGUCCUAAGACACUGACUCAUGACUCAGGCUGUCUCCAUGAAUAGUCUGGUCUUACAGGGGAGCCUGAAAAACACAAGCUAGACGGCAACCCUGAUUCUGACGCCUACUAACCGUGUGACCUCAAGGGACUCCUGUAACUCGUGAAAGCCUGUUUCCUCAUCUACAAAACAGGAUAAGAAUGGUACCUGACUCAUAAGCAAUGGUGAGGAUGAGAAAAACCUGUGUAAAAUAAAGCCCUUAGCAAGUGUGGAGUGCAUCGAAGACACCCAGUGGGCCACCUGUAACAUGUACUGGCCAUUGUUAAGAUUAUGGCAUGUCCCAGUGUGGUAGGUGGGGGGUGGCUGUCACCGCUGUCACUGUUCUCCCAGUCUGGCCACACUGAAAAGUCAGGGUGAUGGGGAGUCUCAGGGACCCUGGUCUCUACCCCCAGCCUCCCAGAGCCCAAGCUACUCAAGGCUGGGUUUGGGAUUGUAGGCCAUGGGGCUGGGCUCCUUUCUUUCCCUCUCUUCCCUUUCUCCUGCAUCGUCUUGUGUUAGCCUCAGACUGCAUUCCCAGGCCUUGCUCAAAAGUCCCAGGCAGCAACCUUCCCUGGGGAGGAAGUGGGGAGCGUGUGAGGCUGGUGAACUCAGCGGGGCUGUCAGGGGGUGGGAGGGCGCUCUGGGAACACAGGCCCAGAGAAGCCACACAGUGGAGGGGACACGGGAAGGGGCCCUACACGGCAGCUCCCACAUCUCGAGAUGCCGCGCUGGACCUUUGCCCUCAUCCUUCCUGCUCUCUUGCUCCCGUGGUUGUGUCUCACUGCCGGCUCAUAAUGGAAGCUGCCGCUGCUCAUUGUGGGCUUACAAUGUGCCAGCAACCGCACUUGCACUUGACAUCCACCUCAUUUGACCUUCACAAACAAGCCAAAGUCCAGAGAGGCAAAGCCACCAGCUCGAGAUCACAUAGCUAGAAAGUGCUUUGGGUGAGAAUGCAAACAGAGGUCUGCCGGGCUCCAGGGCUAGCGUCUUCUCAAUUCUCCCCAGACAUAUGCCGGAAACCCUAGGGCCCUGGAACCCAAGGAGAACACAGGCCGGAGGACUUGUACCUGGGUGAGGGAGCCGAGGAAGGGGAGUUGUGGGUAAAGAAGCCCAUCCAGAAAAAACUGGCGUGGGGUGGUGGGGGUGUAUUCACAUGGGGCCCCAACCUCAGCCAUCUCCCAGGGUAGUGCCAUCUGGCUUGCAGAUGUGGCCUAUUCCCAGCCCCUCGGACUUCUUGGAAAUGAGCAAGACCAGGAGAAGGCACAGGGCCUUUAUGCAACAUCUAUGACGACGUGAGCUCUGUCUUGUGGUCAUCCAGCCGACUGUGGCCCAAGCUCAGGGGACAGCUGGGUUGAGAGUGAGCAGCCCAGGGGUCAAGCUGACCUCUGAUACUCACCAGGCGUUGACCUGAGUACACUGCAGAGCCUCUUGGAGCCUCAGUAAGCAAGGAAGUCACUCCUAUCUCUGGCAGGGGUUUUGAGCAUUUCCGAAGCUAUGGGAGGGAGCAUUUUGCAGGCUGCAAGCCUUGUGCAGCUGGAAGUGGUCACAGGUAGCCCCAGGGCUGUCCCUUCAGUCUUGGCUACUAUGUUAACGACAACUUGCCAUCUACCCCUAAAUGGCUCCUUAUCCCUGGGUGAGUCUAGAGGUGGGGGCAUUGGUUCACUGGGGCCUCUGAGAAAUUUCCUUCCAAAUCCACACUUCUGCCAAUGGAGUCUUGGUGCUCUGAAAAGGGUAGGCAGCCCCUCUUGCUCUUGGAGCCUAGAGCUCCUCAGAACAGCCCCUUUGAAAGCCGGGCAAGCAUUGCAGAAAAUGGCAGCCUAGGGGCAGAAGGUGGAAAAGGCAAGGGCACCCACUCCAGUACUCUUGCCUGGAAAAUCCCAUGGACAGAGGAGCCUGGUGGGCUGCAGUCCAUGGGGUCGAUAAGAGUUGGACACAACUAGGUGACUUCACUUUCACUUUUCACUUUCAUGCAUCGGAGAAGAAAAUGGCAACCCACUCCAGUGUUCUUGCCUGGAGAAUCCCAGGGACUGCAGAGCCUGGUGGGCUACACAGGGGUAGCCCACAGAGUUGGACACGACUGAAGCGACUUAGCAGCAGCAGCAGCAGCAGGGGCGGAAGAACAGACGCCUCGAGGCCUGGAAAAUCCCCGCAGACUCGGCCUGAGGCUUCUAAGGACCCAGCAGCAGCCCAGGCUCAUCCUCAAUCCCUCGGAGCCCAGCAGCCUGGUCAGGACCCACAGGCACCCCAACAUUCUCUGAUGGGGGCAUCCUUGUUCCUUUCAGGCAAGGGCACUGGCUGGUGGGAGCCACCCCUUUUCAACCCUCACACUGACAGAGCAAACACCCCAGACAAGGGCCUCCUGAGGACCCGAGGAGGGCAGGCAGCGGGUUCCCUGGACACAGAACUGUGAGUGCCACCCCUCCCCACCCACUGGCACCCACAUCCUCCCCUCUACACCCCGCCGACAAUAAACUCCCCAUCCCAUCCUCAGAAUGACCACGAGAGCAGGCCUCAGAAUGGGUUAACAAGGAAGGCCCUGUUGAUUGACGGGCUGAGGACAAGUCAGGGCUGUUGGGUUGGGGUCGUAGGUGAAAAGAAAUGGAACCAAGGAAGGGAAAACCCACCAGGAGCCAAGAAUCCACCCCCAUCCCAUGCUCCCUACAAACCUACAAACACAGAGCCUGCAUGCUACCGAAACCAAAGGACUUGAGAGAGCUGUGGAGGAUGGUGGUCUUCUUCCCUGGAAAGGAGUAAACGGGGUAGGAUUCUGAAAGCAGGUAGAUGCGGGGCUAUCAGGUUGUCAGCCUCUGAUAACAGAAGCCGCUCUCAGGGCUUUGAGAGGGCCAGGUGUGCGUGCGGACUCACAGUGCUUGGAACACGGUGAAGCUCUAGAAACCCACGCGGUUGUGUUCACUGUCCACCACGUUCUUCCCACGCUUACAGCUGUUCGUGGAGCAGGCAGGGUUAGGGACCAGCUCCAUAAGACAGGUGGAGAAACUGAGGCCCAGGGUGGUGAAGGGACUCCACUCAGAGUCAUUCAGUCUCAAGUGCCCAGGGGCUUUCUGGUACAAGAUCUCACAAAGACGAAAAAAGAGGAAGACUUGGAAGUGAACAGAGGAAGCAAGACUUCGAGAAGGAGCUGACAAGCCAAAGACAUAGGGUGCCCCAGGCCUGGAUUAUAUAACACAGCACACCUGUUUACCUCUGCACACCGCACACGUGCGUGCAAACGUGCGCCCCAGCACAGCACACACACCUGGCCCUCAUUCACUAGCAAAUGAACCUCGGAACUGGGUCCAAACAAAUUGGAUUAGGAGGGCUGCAGGCGCCUCCUCCCCCACGCUGUCGGCUCCGACACUGAGCAGGCCUGCAGAGCAGCCAGCUGCGGUCUCUCGGCCAUGCUGACAGGUCGGCCUCCUUGGUCCCCUCACCCCGCCCCUCGGCCCCGGGAAGGGGCCCUGGGUCCCAAAGAAUGCCAUGAUGAUGGAUGGGCUGAGGGAGGUUCCAGGGCUAGCUCAAGAGCACACAGGAUGUUCGUGCUUAUGCGAGGCUCAUUUCUGAGCUGUUUCCAGCAAACCAACUCCACCUCCCUUCCCUCCCUCCCCUCCAGCAACCUCUCCCACGGUCACCCGGUCACUGCUGCCAGAGCCCAGACCCCGAGCAGAUCUGCCCCCAACUCUCGGUCCCACAGCUGGACUGAGUGGGAACUGGUCACUUAGGAGACAAUGCCCUGGGGCUGAGACACAGGCACUUCAGAGGGGAAACAAAAUCUGUGAACUGAGACGAUGCCAUCAUAAAAGUGGCAUCUCUGUGCUUUCUCAUCCAUUGCUUUAUUUGAUCCUCAGAAUGUACCAGGGAGUUGGGACAUUGUGCCCAUAUUACAGACAUGACUACUGAGCUUCAUUCAUUCAGUGAUCCCAUAGCCCUCCUGUCCUGAGCCCUGUGUCUGCACCAGGCCCUAUGUGGGGUGCUGGGGAAUGACUUGCAGCCUAUGCCUGCAUGACUUAAUGGAACAGUCACCUUUAGGCCAGAUCAGUCUUUUGAAGCCUGUUUUUCCACCUGUAAGAUGGAAAAUACAAAAGCUCCCACCUCGUAAGACUGACUGUGAGGACUAAUUCUUAUUUCCCCUACGCUUAUUUGGGACACAGGGAGAAACAGGGGCCUGAAGAGUGAAAGGGCUCGGCCAGGGUCACACUGGGGGUUAAGUCAUAACCAGGUGGAUCCCUUCCCCUUGCCCCCCAACCUGCUUCACCCUAAGGAGCCCAGAGCCACAAUAGCUGGCCAGUUUGUGCAGGGCCCACAGGGACAUGUCCUGGGUCCUGCCCUCCUUCUUGAGCCCUGCCCAGCCUCUGCAGCACCAGAGUCCCAGGUGGCCAGCGGUGACCCCCCGCCCACAGAGAAGGCGGGGGGUGGGGGCACUUAGCAGCAGGCUCCCAGCCCAGAGCAGCCUGGCCAUAUAAGGGAAGGAGCCAGGAAGGUCUCCUCCUCAGGCCUGGCGAGAAAAUCCAGACAGCCACUGUUUAUUUUCUCCUUCCCAGCCUCCCCAGAGCUUCCCGACAGAAGACACAGGCUGCCCCCCGGGGCCAAGCGACAUUUCCUGAAGACACUGGGGAACAGUGAAGAGAAAACAGUCCGUCCUCCAGGAGUAGAAGGAUGUUGACAGCCAGCACCAGGUAAGAUUCUGCCAGGUAAGAUUGUGAGGCCACCUGUUUGACCGCCUCUUUUGAUGAAGUGGGAAACAGGGAGACAGUGAGAAGUGCUUGUGAGAAGGGAUCACACCACCUGAGUCUCCCUAGUGGGACCCAUCUCCUGACUGGGGACCCAGAGCAAGGAGGGGCCUCUUGCAGAGUAAGUGGAACAGGAGAGCUAUAGACCCCCUUCUCAAUGGGGCCUCAUUUGAAAGAGAAAUGGGGUCAAGGCCAGCUCUGUCUGCCUCCCAGCAAGUAUGCAAAACUCAAGGGAGGAGUUCCUGGAGCCAGAGAGCGACAUAAUGACAUCUUUCCUGCACCUCUGCCCUCGUCCCAAUCCAGCUGCACCACCUUCUCCAGGAAGCCCUCCUAGCUCCCCCAGGGAGGAGGAACCUAAGCCCUCAGCAGUCCUCUCUGGGCUGUCUCUAAGGCCACUUGGGUCUGUCCCCUAUUCAACUCACCAAGGGCAUUUAUCCUUCCAUCUCAGCCUGACUGCGCUCUUCCAGGAUAAGAACCAUAUCAGAUGCAGGCCUGUCCCCUCUGCACGCAGAAGAUGUAUUUGGUUUGCUAAAUGGAUGGAUGAAAGGUUAGACCCUGUCCUCAACCCUGAUAGACUGGUAUAGUGGUCAGGGGAGGAAGUGUUCAGCACAGAGGUUAAAAGUCAUGAUCCUGAGGUGGCUGUUCUGAUAGGAACCAAAGAUGGGCUCCUAGCUCUGUGCUCUUAGAAAAUCCCCUUCUUGUGGAACCUUGGGAUGCACAGGGAUUAGCACAAUGAAAACAUUCAAAACAUGACCGUUCUUUUUACCAUCAGCGUCACUGUGGUUUUUCUAGAGACAAAGGAACAGAACCAGGCAACCUACAGCCACAGAGGAUACGGAAGCAAAUACCUUCCCCUGGUCAAAGGCCUCAACCUCUGGCCCUGUGUCAGAGUUUCCCACAGGAGCGUGGGACUGCCUCCCAUCCAUUUCCUGUCUCUGCACCCAGGAGAGCUGCUAUCUUUGCGGCAAUACUCUGAGCCCAACGGGGUGUGCUGGAAAUAGCUGCCAAUUCCCCUAGUGCAAGCAAGGCUGUGACCCUGGAACCAUCUCCUCCCCUUCCUGGCUCGCCAUGUGCAGUGAUAAAGCUCCCCUGACCACUGCACAGCAGUUCUGCAGAUUAAACGUGGUGGGGUGGUUUUUCAAAUGGCAGGCACUCAGAUGCCACCCACCCUUUUUUUCUCAGAUGCCCCCUUUUUAACUUUUGCCAUAUCUACAAUCAUAAGAUUUUAAAAUUUGAGGUGAGUCUUUUUUCAAUACCUAAAUAGGAAACUAAACACUGUCCAUAAUUAGGAGAUAAUAAAGAUAAGACAGACAGUAAAUACUCAGCGGUGCUCUUACUCCUUCCCCUUGAGCGAUGGCUUGCAAGGCCCUGGACUUGAGGGAGAUAAACAGGAGCCUGAAAAGUGUCAGAGACACGAUAGCACCAAACUGAGGCUCUUUCUCCCGGAAAACAGAAGGACUGGAAGCAAACUGACAGGGAACAGCCUGGGUCACUGUGUUUUCCAAAGUCUGUGCUCAGGCCACAUAUGCAGCAGAAUUGCGAGAAGCCAAAAGUGGUCAGGUGAAAGAGCUUUGGACAGAGUCCCGCACCGAGGAAUGCAAGGGGCUGGCCUAUCAGCUGGCCUCCCAGCAGCAAAGGCUCACUUCUGCUUCUUAGCAAAACUUCCACGUUGGCCAGGCCAGGCAUCUCCCCUUGCAGAACUAGUGGGAGCAGUCCGAGAGUGGAGUAGACACUGUGGGCUGUCCAGGACCCCCCAAGCUGGGUCCUGUUGUUGGAAUCACUCCCCAGCCAAAUGCAGUUUGGAAGAAGUUCCUACUCAUAUUAGAGGAAGGCAGUUCUUUGGGUGGGAAUACCUCACAGAGGGGCUGACCUACCCCAAGUAGCAGACCAAAGGAAAACACUCUGCUGUUUGGGGCCUGAUGUCAGGUUUCCAUCCGAGGCAUAAGAGACACUAAUUUUGGAAGGAUGUGAGUGUUUCCCUGCUCUCUCCCAGCCCUGAGAAAAGGCUGCCGGCCCUCUCCACCCUUCAGACAUCCCUGAAAGUACAUGUCAUCCAGCAUCAAGGCCAUCACAGUGGUAUCAGCAGUGCAGGAGGGGUGCCCUGAGAUCUUGGCGGGACAGGAGAAGGGGGUACAGGGCUCUGCCUGCUCACUCAGAGGUUCCCAUCUAAGCCAGGUCUUAACAGGAAAACGAAUGAUCUACAAGGCCAUUCACUCAUCUACCAGCAGCACUCCCUGGGGUCCCUCACCAUGUACAAAGGCCUUCACAAGGCCCAGGGAUCCCCACCACGAACAAACAUGGGUGCUGGGUCUACCCCAGUCAGACCCAGAGGCAAAGAGCUCUGACACUGGAGAGAUGUGGCUGAAGAACAUGAUUCAUUCACUCGGACAACACAUAUUAAGCAUCUACCAUCACAAAUGCAAUAAAGGAUGAGAAAGAGGGCAGAGAGGACUUCCCUGGUGGUUCAGUAGUGGAGAAUCUGCCCUGCAAAGCAGGGCACUCAGGUUCAAUCCCUGCUCAGGGAACUAAGAUCCCACAUGCCAUCGAACAGCUGAGCUCCCACGCCACAACCACGUACCGCACGAAGACUGCACGUGCCGAAACUAAGCCCUCAUGCAGUCAAAUAAAUAAAAUUUAAAAAAGAAAGAAAGAGGGCAAAGGAUGCAGACCGGGGAGUUCUGACGUCUGAAAAAGUCAAAGGGGGCUUCACAGGAAAAGUGGCCAUUUAAGUAGAGACUCAUCCCACCAAGAAGAGAUGGGCAGGGGAGUGAGAGGGAGUAACAUGGUUCCUGGGAGCCCCAAGGUGGUGUGCACAGGACUCCCUGGAGGAGUGGAAAAAGAGGGCAGGGGCCCAAGAGAAACAGCCCAGCUGGGCCAGAUAGGGCAGGCCUAUAGCCUUUUGUAAGGGUUUUAGAAUUCAGCCAGAAGGAGACUUUUCACCAUUUUAAACCCAGGAGAAAUAUGGGCACAUUUGCAUUUUGAGAAAUCAUUCUGAGAGGAUGGGUGGGAAGUUGGUGGGAGCAGAAGCAAGGGAAGCCAGGUGGGAGGCUGAAGCAAAUGCUUGAUGGUAUAAAAUAUAAAGUACCAUGAAUGUGCCAUUUGGCUGGGCUACACCAAGCAUAAACGUGAGGUAUGGGGUCAAAAAGGUAGACCAUCACCCAGGGUGAGGGGUGAGGGGGCAGUAGAGGGUUCUUUGGGAAUGAUGAAAUGUUCUAAGAUUGUGGCAAUGCUUGUGACACUCUGUGUUUUUGCACUCACGCUCGGUCGUGUCCGACUCUUUGUGAUCCCAUGGACUGUAGCCCACCAGGCUCUCUUCCAUCCAUGGAAUUUUCCAGGCAAGAAUACUGGAGUGGGUUGCCAUUUCUUCCUCCAGUGGAUCUUCCCGACCCAGGGAAGGUCCCUCAUCUCCUGCAACUCCUGCACUGCAGGCAGACUCUUUCCCAUUAAGCCAUCAGGGAAGCCCAACUCACCACUCUGUGACUGAACUAGAAGAGCAUUUCAUUGUGUAAUUUGAAUAGGAGGUUUAUAUCUCAACAAAACUGUUUAAAAAGAAAAGGAAGGGUGAAGCUUGGUCCCAGAGGGCUCAAAUGCCAGGCUGAGGGCAGGAAGCACACCAGUGUAGCUGCAGCAGCCUCCAGGGCAGGAGCUGGAGGGAGGAGCCGAGGCCCCUCUAAUGCCCCUUCUCCUGCCUAGGGUGGACUCCCUGCCUUCGGCCCCUGGUGCAGAGCGGUGUGGCGUCCUGUCUCCCAGCCUGAGGUGCAGUGCUGCAUCUCUGGUCAGUUGGGAGUCUGAGAUGAAGCACUGUAGCUCGGGAAGGGAGAAGUUGUUCUACAGCCGUCGCCAGAAGUGGUAAGUGGUAUGGUGCCUGCAGGCACCAGGAAGGACGGGAGUGUUUCCAUUCUCCAGAAUGUCCGCUGAGGAAGCACUGGACUUGAGUCCUAUCUGUGCCACUAUCUGCUUCAUGUUUCUGGGCAAGUCCUGACUCCUCUGUGCACCGCAGUUUGUUCAUGUGUAAUAUGAGAUUUUGGAGCAUUUGGUGGUGGCCAUUACCCAGUACCCUGACUCUGCUUUCUCCUGAGCCCAUGGCAGACAUGGCUAAUCAGUCAAGGCAUCCUUUCCUAAAGCAUUCAGAUGCGGCUUCAGAAUCCUUCUUAAUGCUAAGUCCUAGAGAGCUGCUAUUGAUUCAAAGCUGAAACACUUCAUCAUUUGUGAACUGGUCAAUUCCUAAAAAAUCUUUCAGACUAAAGACAAAGUCCUGGGCUCUGAGUCCAGCUCUUUACUCUUUGAGGUGUUGCCUAAAAUAAUCCAGGCAUCUCUCAAAUAUCUGAUCCCUCUCAGGGGCUUCAGACUAGUCAGAAAUAGCAGAGGAAAACCACUGGGCUAAGCACAAUUUAUUUAACCUUCCUACAAGCUUGGGAGGUGGAUUUUAUUGACACAUUUUCCAGAUGAGGAAACCAAGGCUCAGGUAAGCAACCUGCCCAAGGUCACACAUAAAUUAUGUUGAGCUAGGCUUGGAACCUAAUCUGUCUGCCUUCAGAUUCAUGUUCUUACCCACUGCAUGUGACUUGGGAACCUGGGAUUAGGGGAGCAGGAGGAGAACAUAAUAAAUCCUAUUCUAGUCUUGUCCUUACAUCCUGGGUCACUUUUAGCAAAGACAGACUGAGACAUUUUCCAGUAAUCCUAUAGACUUCCUUCCUCUUCUUCCUGCCCCCCACCACUGUAUUUAUCUCACCUUUCAAGUAGGUCCUAUACCAUCCCAUUUUAUAAUUGGGGAAGACUGAGGUUAAGUGAGUUGCUGGAGGUCACCGGUAAGGAAGGUGCCAAACAGAGACUGGGAACCAGAACUGUCCAGGUGGUUUCGAGUAGAACCCUCCCUCUGGCUGGAGACUCAGGAACACACAAUCCAUGGCAACUGAACCAGGGGGUGGGGUGUUACUAGAUGAUUUCUGGUCGACAACAUGGCCUCUGACUACAGGAAGGUACUUUCCAGGGACACUGAAGUUCCAGUCACUACCCCCUCCCCUGAAGCAAUCAUCCACAUCCCGCCAGACAUGGUGGCCACACUGGCUUCUGCAGAUGGGGCUGGAUGCAGAAGAAAACUCCAGUUGGUCCUUAGAGAUAUGGCAGGGCCUGGGUGCUGAAGGCCACUCUCUCACCUUGUCCUCACGGUCCAGUUUUCCCAGGAAUCCCUUAGAUGCUAAGAUGGGGAUUCCUGGAAAUACUGUUCUUGAGGUCAUGGUUUAACAGCUGGAUUCGCCUCCUUCCCACCCCAAGUUGCCCCCACGGGACUUGGGCUCAAGCACGGCAUGAGGUCACGUGGAAAGCCAUGCACUGGAGGUAAGAGGACUUGAGGACUGCGUUCUUGACCUUUAAAUUGCUUUUCUUUCCAUUUUGUCCAUUUCGCAACAUCCUGUGAGGCUGGAAUGGGAGCUUCACCUCUGUCCUACUCUUGGGAAAUUUGUCCAGACACUCAGUUGAGCAGUGGUUGAACCAGGACACCAUAAAGCUUGUGUCUCUUUCCACCUCCCCCAACCCCCAUCCCACUUCCCAGCAUGCCAAGCAGUGGUGGGGGUGGGGUCACAAUAUCAAAUCCACAUUAGUGAUAAAUAAAUAUAUGUGAAUUUAUUUUAAAAGUUCACUAGAUCAGUUAACGUAAACUAAAAAUCUGUAAGUUUUAGUUCGAUUUGGAAUACCACAGAAAAAGUUUGUAAUUUUUCAUCAAGGUAGAGAAGACAAAAAAGCUCAGACUGCCCUCUUGUGGUGACGCCUGCCACAACCCUGGAGAACCAGGAACACUGGGCUGUCCUACACACACACAUACACACACACACAGACUCCUUUUGAACCAGCUUAAGUCACACACACUCUCUCUCUCACACACACAAACACACAUACACAGAGACUACUUUUGAACCAGCUUAAGACCCAUCCAUCAUUUCAUUACCAAUGAUGUCUCCAUCAUUUAGUUUAACUCACAUUACCUGGCUUUGUCCUCAAAACUCCUGAAGGUCAGUGAGAUGGUGAAGUUCAGAGAGGUGAAGUGACCAGCCCCUGGUCACCCAGAUAACAUUAGGCAGAGCCAGGAUCUGUUCCGAGUUCAGUGACUCAGCCAAAAGUAAAAACUACAAACAUAAAAAAUAAAAGGAAGACAUCUGAAUAGAUGCAGAAAAUGCUGGCUGAAUACCAGAGGCCUGAUGUGGUCCAGGGGCAAUCCUAGAACUUUUCACAAAACCUUCUCAGUGCUUUUUAUGGAGUUUGUAGAGACAAGAGGUGCCAUGACCCCAGGGUCCUUCCUUUGGGGUCUAGUAGCCAUGUUCCUAGGGACCAGGUGGCUCCCACUUAUGUAUCAGGCUGUCUCUCUUAACAGGCCAGGCUGCAGACAAUUUACAAAGUAUCAGAUUCCCGUCCCUCUCCUCCUCAGAGACUGGAGCUGGUCUGACCAUGAAGAAAUCUGAUUUGCUCCAAAUGAUAAUAAUAGCUUCCACUUACUGAGUAUUUGCAACUUACCAGGCACUGUGUUAAACAUUUUCACAAGCAUUGUCCCAUUCAAUCCUCACAACAACUCAGUGAGAUAGGUUCUAUCACUUAUUCCACUUCACAGAUGAGGCAGCCAAGACACAGAGACGUUAAGAGACUUGUCGAAGAUCACACAGCUGACAGUUGUAAGACUGAGUCAAAUCAAGUCUGUGUUUAUACCUGUCACCUGCCCUUGCCCCCUCUCUACCAUUUGGCCUGGUCUGGCUGGUAGAGCUGUCUCCUGUGGCUUCCCCUGGGACAGAUGGUAAAAUAAAUCUUCAGUGAGACCCAAGCGGUCCCUCCUGUGUUCCGUGACUACAAUAAAGUGUGAGACCCUUGACUUGUGUCCGUGUCUUUUUGGGGAACAUGAGAGGAGGAGAGGGGAGGUGAAGGCAGCCUAACAGCCUGUAUUAGUUCACGAGGGCAUCCGUAACAAAGUGCGACAGCCUGGGUGGCUUAAGCAAUAGAAUGUUACUUUAUCACAGAGUCUGGAUGUCUAAGAGCAAGGUGUCAGCAGGGCUGGCUUCCUCCGAGGCCUCUCUGUCUUGUAGACAGCUGUGUUCUCCUGUGUCUUCAGUCAGUACACGUCAGUGUCUUAAUCUCUUCAGACAAGGACACCAGUCCUGUUGGAUUAGGGCCCACCUACAGGUCUCAUUUAACAUAAAUUAUUUCUUUAAAGACCUACCGCCAAAUAAAGUCAGAGUCUAGGUACUGGGGUUUAAGACGUUCAUCAUGAACAUAGUUGGGGGACACAAUCCAGCCCACAGCACAGCCCCAGUUGAGGUAACCCUAAGGUGACUUCACACUGCUGGACAUUUCCAGGGGCCAGCUACACAGCAACCAGGACCCACACCAGGAUAGUCAGAAGCUCCAGGAAGGUGCCAGGCGGUGUCUGAGAACACCCACCAAGGGAAGGGGGAACGUCCCCCAAGGUGAGGUCCCCUCGGGCGGGGGCCAAGGCGCAGGCUGAGGAGCCUGGCCACGCGGCAGCCUCUCCCCUUCAGUCCCAAAGGUGUGACUGACCAGGUGGAGGAGGCGAGACAAACUCUGAAAUCACACCUCACACGGUGCCAGGAAUCAGAGUGAAUGCAAUAUCAGCUGCACCACAGGCAUCAUCCCAACUGUGCAGACAUGUUAAACACACUUCUCUUCCUUUGGGGCUGACCCUCCAAACUCCGAUAAAUUCUGAGGGGGAGAAAAAAUCAACAUGACUUCCUACCUGCUGAUUCCCAGAUGCCCAGGGCCUCCCCUCAAUGCUCCUUUGAGCCGCAAAACAAGGCCUGCAUGCCUGCGCCGCACUGCAGAGGAGCCCAAGGUCCCACAAGGCCCAGGGGAGCAGCUGGGGAGCCACAGGGAUGAGGAAGAGGCAGGAUGGAGAGCUCCCCCGCCACCACCCAGCCGUCCACCACACCCCACGCCCCGACGACACACCCUGUUCUUGUUCAGCUUUGGAGCGUCAGUCACUGGGGCCUCCUCCAAACUCACGGGCCUGGUCCUGCUGAAGUCCUUCUAGAACUUUCCCUCACACCCCUGGGGCAUUAUCGGUAAGACGCAGCUUUCUGACUCCCACAGGCAGGUUCUGCUCUGUGGUUUGAGAUUUCC
ensembl:lncRNA